rnacentral:lncRNA from 1 species
GCUAGCUAAACCUCUCACUUAUAUGACAGUCGCAUCAAAUUCCAUUACAUUGUCAACGAUGUGUGAACAAAACAAACAUACUCAAAGAGUAAAAAUGUCAAAAAUAGGGGUACAACAGUCAACAUUAUGUUAUCAUCUUAAUCACUAUAAAAACAACAAAUGUAACGAAGAAGCACAAAAAGGCAUACAUCAAAUUUAACAUCCUCAUUUUGCUUAUCUUAU